UACAGAGGGUGCGAGCGUUUGUUCGGAAUUAUUGGGCGUAAAGCGCUUGUAGGCGGCUUGUUAAGUUCCGUGUGAAAUCCCCAGGCUUAACCUGGGAAGUGCGCGGAAAACUGGCGAGCUUGAAUGCCGGAGAGGGUCGCGGAAUUCCCGGUGUAGAGGUGGAAAUUCGUAGAUAUCGGGAGGAACACCAGUGGCGAAGGCGGCGACCUGGACGGACAGUUGACGCUGAGACGCGAAAGCGGUGGGGAGCAAACAGGG
rnacentral:rRNA from 1 species